CGGCGGCUCCUCCAUUGCGGUGCCCAAUGGGCUGGAGGCUGUGAGCAUCGAGAGCAAGGGCUGCCUGAGCAGCGGACGGUGAAGAGACAGAUGGGACAUCGUUGGAACGCAGGCCCAAGGAGAGGCCCCGUGCAGCUCUCUUCAGGGACCAUCCCGGGGUGCUCGACCUGUCCCUGCAAGAAGAACACCCAUCACCACCAAUCUCUUCAUGCGUCUGCCACUGGCCACCUUUCCUACCCACCACCAGCCCAACCUGCUUCCUCCCCACACAUCUUGGCCUUGUGGCACUCCUAGCCCCACACUGUGGCCAUGCUGCAUCCUUCUAUCUGUCCUGUAUCAUCUUCUGCUUCUCCACUGGUAUGUGGAGCAUGGGCAGACUGUGCCUGGUCCCUCCUCCAGGCCUUUGCUUCCCUGGCUUUUCCCAGCUGGCUCCCACAUGUACACAGCUGUGCAGAUCCUUCCCAAAUAACAGCCUUCAUCCUGUGGGAUGGAAUAAACCUCCUUUCCACACACAGAUUUCAAUGGCUGCCUCCUGCAUCUUCUUUGUCCUCCUCCUCCUAAGAACCCCCUCACACCAUGAGCACAAAACAUCACCUUGCACCUGGCAGUCCACACACCUGGAUGAUGCCAUCUCCCAUGUCAGCCUUUAGUGCUGAGCAAGAGUUGUCCAACUUCCAAGCACCUCUGAUGGAGCCAGUCUAAUAAAGCUGUGCUAACCCUGA